rnacentral:tRNA from 1 species
AGGGGUAUAGCUCAAUUAGGCAGAGCGCCACUCUCCAAAAGUGGAGGUUCCGGGUUCGAUUCCUGGUGCCCCUG